rnacentral:rRNA from 1 species
UACGUAGGGGGCUAGCGUUGUCCGGAAUCAUUGGGCGUAAAGCGCGUGUAGGCGGUUUGGUAAGUCCGCUCUGAAAGUCCGGGGCUCAACCCCGGAAUGCGGGUGGAUACUGUCAGACUAGAGUUCGGAAGAGGCGAGUGGAAUUCCCGGUGUAGCGGUGAAAUGCGCAGAUAUCAGGAGGAACACCGAUGGCGAAGGCAGGUCUCUGGGCUGACACUGACGCUCAUGCACGAAAGCGUGGGGAGCAAACAGG